rnacentral:rRNA from 1 species
CGCACGCUGGCGGCGUGCUUCCCACAUGCAAGUCGCCCGGAAAGGCCCUGCUUUUGUGGGGUGCUCGAGUGGCGAACGGGUGAGUAACACGUGAGUAACCUGCCCUUGACUUUGGGAUAACUUCAGGAAACUGGGGCUAAUACCGGAUAGGAGCUCCUGCUGCAUGGUGGGGGUUGGAAAGUUUCGGCGGUUGGGGAUGGACUCGCGGCUUAUCAGCUUGUUGGUGGGGUAGUGGCUUACCAAGGCUUUGACGGGUAGCCGGCCUGAGAGGGUGACCGGCCACAUUGGGACUGAGAUACGGCCCAGACUCCUACGGGAGGCAGCAGUGGGGAAUAUUGCACAAUGGGCGGAAGCCUGAUGCAGCAACGCCGCGUGCGGGAUGACGGCCUUCGGGUUGUAAACCGCUUUCGCCUGUGACGAAGCGUGAGUGACGGUAAUGGGUAAAGAAGCACCGGCUAACUACGUG